rnacentral:lncRNA from 1 species
CAUCUUUCCUGCUGCCCUCUGGUUGGCUGCAGGCUGGCUGCACAGUCCAGCUCCUGCUGGACACCAGUCUCACCAGAGGAGAAGGGGAUGUCUCAGAGAUGCCCCUUCUGCAGGCUCCCUCAUUUACCAUGCCUCUCGGGCAAACGGGGCAAAUGUGGUUGGCUAAGAUGAGUCAGAAUCUUCCCUGGGUGUCUUCAUCUGUUUGGGCUGCUGUAUCAAAGUACCAUCAGCUGGUGGAUUCUAAACAACAGAAAUUUAUAAACAGCCCUAGCAGUCCUGGAGGCUGGAAGUCCAAGAUCAAGGUGCCAGCAGGUCACUGUCUGGUGGAGUCCCACUUCCUUCAUCGAUGGCUUCUUCUUGCUGUGUCCUCAUGUGGAUGGCGGGCUGAGGUGUCUCUCUUGAGCCUCUUUUAUGAGGGCACAAAUCCAACUCAGGAGGCUCCACCCCCAUGACCUAAUCUCCUCCCAAAGGCCCCACCUCCUAAACCGUCACCUUGGUGUUGGUUUCAACACACGAAUUUUAGGGGGACACAGGAUUCAGCCCAUAGUAUUUGGGCAGGAGAUGACAUCACUGAAGGAAGAAAAUGAUUUUGACGUGUGAAAUGCAGAGUCAAAUAGAUUUCCCAGAAGAAUUUCAACUGUGGAAUGAAGGGCCUGUGGGAGUUAUGAUGAAGCGUCAAGCCUGGAGGGGAGAGAAGAGGGGAGGAAUGGUGUCAAAGAGUGAUUGAUAACAGAAGUGUCCAGAUGUUUUUAUUAUUUACAUUUUACUCCCAGUGCUGUAUGUGUAAAUACUAGCAAG